rnacentral:rRNA from 1 species
UGGGGAAUUUUGGACAAUGGGGGAAACCCUGAUCCAGCCAUCCCGCGUGUGCGAUGAAGGCCUUCGGGUUGUAAAGCACUUUUUGCAGGAAAGAAACGUCAUGGGUUAAUACCCCGUGAAACUGACGGUACCUGCAGAAUAAGCACCGGCUAACUACGUGCCAGCAGCCGCGGUAAUACGUAGGGUGCAAGCGUUAAUCGGAAUUACUGGGCGUAAAGCGUGCGCAGGCGGUUCGGAAAGAAAGAUGUGAAAUCCCAGAGCUCAACUUUGGAACUGCAUUUUUAACUGCCGGGCUAGAGUGUGUCAGAGGGAGGUGGAAUUCCGCGUGUAGCAGUGAAAUGCGUAGAUAUGCGGAGGAACACCGAUGGCGAAGGCAGCCUCCUGGGAUAACACUGACGCUGAUGCACGAAAGCGUGGGGAGCAAACAGG